rnacentral:rRNA from 1 species
GGAGGUAGUGACGUGAAAUAACGAUGCGGGACUCUUCCGAGGCCUCGCAAUCGGAAUGAGUUAACUUUAAAUCCUUUCGACGAGGAUCGAUUGGAGGGCAAGUCUGGUGCCAGCAGCCGCGGUAAUUCCAGCUCCAAUAGCGUAUAUUAAAGUUGCUGCGGUUAAAAAGCUCGUAGUUGAAUCUCACGAUUCAACAGGAGGUGAGCGCCGUGGUGGUAGUAGUAGCAGCAGUUGCUACUAUAAUUCUCCUUCUCAUUCUUCUCGUUGCGGAAGAAGAAGAAGGAGGAUGUCGAAUGCUCCAAGAGGGUGUUAAUAAGACGGUACUAGUUGAUAUUCCGACGGUGGUGGUAGCGGAGGCGGUCGUCGAUGAUGCUGCUGCUGCUGCUGCAGCUGUUGGUACUGCUGCGGUGGUGGUAACAAAAAACUGACGAUGGCCGUCGCCGCUGCUACUACUACUUCCUUCAUCGACGAUUCCCUAUUCGUAGCAUUGUUUCCUACUACUACUGCUCCUUCUUCUUCUUUUCGACAGUAGAAGCUGUUGUUUUUUAUUAUUACUUCCUCCUCCUCCGCGGAUGCUGCUGCUGCUGCUGCUGCUGCUGUUGCUGCUGCUGGCUCUCGCGCGCUCGCGUUCGGUCGGCAACUUCACUUUGACAAAAUUAGAGUGCUCAGAGCGGGCAAGAUCUGAAGCCCGAAUGGAGGUGCAUAGAAUGAUCUAAGAUGACCUCGCGAUCUAAACGUUUGUCGGUUUAUGGGGUCGCGAGGUAAUGAUUAAA